rnacentral:rRNA from 1 species
GACGAACGCUGGCGGCGUGCCUAAUACAUGCAAGUAGGACGCAGUUGCGAACGGGUGAGUAACGCGUAGGUAACUACCUAUUAGAGGGGGAUAACUAUUGGUACCGAUAGCUAAUACCGCAUACUAGUAGAUGGACCUGCGUUGUAUUAGCUAGUAGGUAGGGUAAUGGCCUACCUAGGCAACGAUACAUAGCCGACCGGGGAGGGGGGUCGGCAACACUGGGACUGGGACACGGCCCAGACUCCUACGUGAAGCAGCAGUAGGGAAUCUUCGGCAAUGGGGGGAACCCUGACCGAGCAACGCGGCGGGAGUGAAGAAAGUUUUCGGAUCGUAAAGCUCUGUUGUUAAGGAAGCGGUACUUAACCAGAAAGUGACGGCUAACUACGUGCUAGCAGCCGCGGUAAUUC